UCACCCCGCAGCUUCACCUCUUCCCGCCACUGGUCGUGGCUCCCCCAGAACACCGGCGCGACCCCCACUGCGAACCGAGUAGCUUUCUUUCCGGUGUCAGAAGUCAGCAGUGAUCUGGCCAGGCCAGCCAGGCUCCCGCAGGGCAGCGAUGGGACCACAGGAGUGGCUGGGGAAACCGGGGCCAGGGACUGUGUAUGUCUGUAUGAGUGAGCUGGUUUGGAAAUGUGGCGUAAGGAGCGGCCCGAGGUAAGGGGAGUAGAGCCUCUGCACGUGGGCCCAAGGGUUAGAAUGGAGUAGGGAAGUAGGGCUAUGAACUCCAGCGCUCUGAGAAAAGUACAUUUCGCAAAGCAACAGACACUGGACCGAGGAAAACCACAUUCUGUAACUUGGCUCUGCCCCCCAGCGUUAUGCUCUCUUGUGUUUCACAGAUGAAGACUCAAGCCAGAGAAGUUAUGGCCUGCUCAGGAUUGGAAGAUCUGAUUUAUUUCUCGGUUCCCCCCAACCCAUCUCAGUGCAGCAAUUAUGGUCUCCAGUAGUUUGUUGAUCACACACAUACUUAAAGUUGGAUCUAAAAAACCAUCUUACAUUCAUGCCUGAAUAAAAACAUUUAUGUUGUAAAAGUGAGUAUGCCAAUUGGUGACUAGAGAAAACAUCCAGAAUAUAUGUUGUAACAGGUGAUUGUUUUCCUAUUACAGAGUGGCAAACAUUUCUCAACUAUCCACCUGCUGAAAUAUUCAGUAAUAUAUUCACUUGUGCCCCAUUGCCAAAAGGAUUUCAAGAAGCAACUAGUUUAAGUGGGGCAAGUUUACUUUCUAAUGCUUUUAAUAUUGUUAAGCUAACCACGUGUAUUUUUGACACACUUACAAAAAUAACCUGGAAAAUCCACCUGGGUCAGAGCUUCCCAGUCGAUAUAGUUUCUCAUAAAAAUCAAAGUAUCUAUUAUGAAAAACAAGAAAACUGAAGAAUUCAAACAAUCAUUUCUUCCCGCCAAGGCUCUAGCCCCUCCCAUUUGCAAGUUCGGUCCCCAGAUCUUUGAGCAAUCCACCCUAUAACCCUCUACACCAGUGUCUCAGACCUCUGCCAGGUUGUCUGGGCUGGCUGGAAUCCUGCAUCCUUGGUCUGAGCAAGAAGGCCCAGAGACCCCGCAUGACUCCCUGCAUGACAGAGGCUCUUCUGCAUGGAGAGUUUGCCACAUCCGAGGCUGCCAAUGUGGAAAAUGUCUCCUGCUGUAUGGCGGACUGCAGAGUGGGAAUGGCUUCCAGAACAAUCAACCCAAACAGGAUACAAAAGGGAAUGUACAGUAUGAUUACAACUCUGCCAGAAUUUAUCUGUUGAUGGACCAACGCUGGAAAUGAAUAAGCAAAAAUAGCAACUGUGUGAUACGAUGUUGUUUCAGCGUAUCUGAGGAGGAGGAAGAGAUUAGAGGAGGACAAGAAACAGCCAAGUUUGGUUGUUGCUCUUGGUUGCUGCUUCCUCUAAUUUGGAUCCAGAUGGGGAAGCUGAAGACAGAGUUUACCGCGCUUGCAAAUAUAGUCGGUAUGCAUGAUCACUAUGGUCUAGUGCCACUCUGGAGAGCUAACAACGUAUGAAACAAUGUGCUCUGAGUGUUCUGAGGAGCUACAAUAACUAUGCUGUGAGAGCAAGAUAAGAUUUUAUAUAUGAGCUGGAACCUGCAAGGAAGAAGGCGCAGGCUAAGGAGAUGGAGAAGGGAACAACCAGGCAGAGGAAACAGCACAUGCAGAGGCUCCUUCUCUUCACUGUCUAACCUUCAAGUACAAUGGAGGUUCUUAAUAGGUUCUGGUACAGAAGACCCUCCAUUUUUCUCCAUUCUUUCUUUCAUUUCUUCCUAUCCUCUACCCAUUCCUAUCUGACACUCAUCGCAAUCCUCAUGCUGCUUCUCAUAUGCCACCUGUCCACUUCCACUACCAUGGUCCUAAUUUAGGCUUUUAUUAGCUCUCAUCUGGACCAUUGCAAUUGCUUGCAAUAGCUUCCCUCUGCUUUCCUCCAAUUUAUUAAAAAAAAAAAAUCUGCAUGUGGAAUUUUCUAAAGUAAAGCUCUGAGCAACUAUUAUCUCAGGCUGUGAAAUCUUCAAAUCUUUCACUUUCCCCAGAGUAGUGUAAACUAUACAGCCAGGUAGCCACCUUCCUUAACAAAGUUUUGACCUGUCUUUCAAAUCUCCUACCAUCCCUUUUGUAGACACUACCAUUGGUCCUCGAACUUUGGUGUGACUCAGAAUCACCUGUGAUGCUCUUGUAAAAAAUAUGCGUGUCUGGGCUCCAACCCAGAGUAUCUGAUUCAGUAAAUCUGAGCUUUGUUCCAGUUUAGUGUAUACGCGUGCUUGCUUUGUUUUUGAUGCUGGAGGACACCUAUAUUUUUAAGUUUCCUCCUGGUGUUUCUAACUCACCAACUUUUGAAAAACACUACAUGUUCAACUUUGCCUAAAUUUGGUAAGUCCCUCCAUAUUUUCUCAUUUAAUUCGGGAGUUACAUCAUUCUUUCUCCCAGAGUCUAAUUCUCAAAUUCCACCCAUCUUUCAAGACAGAUCAAAUGCCACCUCUCCCAGGAAGUUUUUCCUGCUCUCCUUCGCACUUCUUUGAUAUUUAGCUGCACUUUUCUUGUGGCACCUUUUGCUUAUUUAGGGAGCGUCCACGCGCUGGAGCGGCCAAUAAGUUCACCCUGGACAGAGUGACACAUUUCAUUUAAGUCAUUCACAACCCUAGCCCUCGCAGAAAUACGGACAAGCGCAAUAAACACUGUUGGAUCACUCUAUCAACAGCUCUGCCUGGAAACCCAGGGUACAACUGCCUCAGACGCCCUUCCCCAGUUGUGAAAAAAGGCACUGGCAGAACCACUGAGCAUAACAGUCGUCCCGAGGUCCGAGGGCGAGCGGGAACCGCUCAGAGGUUGGAAAACAACAGGCCCGACUCCGAGGACGGAGAGCGAAGCACCGAUUGAAAAGGCGCUUCCACUCCCCGCUCGCUCCAUCCAGACGUUCGCCUCGCCCUCCGAUUGGCUACUCCUCCCACCAGCCCCGCCUCAAGGCUGUGGCCCACGUGACCCUCUGGCGGUCGCGGGAUUGGUGUCGGGCGAAGGCCGCGCUGGGCUGUGGGAGCUCGCGGGGUCGCGAGGCGGAGGCAGAUAGGAAGCGGGAAGUAGGUAACGUGCGGGAUGGAAAGGCCGACAAUCGGCUGCCUUCAGCUUCCGCACGCCGGGGCAAGCCUCCUGAGAGUCGAGAGCGUAGGAGUCUUAGGGAUCCGGAAA